GACACGGUGGAUUAGUGGUUAUAAUCUUUACCUCGCAUCUGCAGGGUUGGGGGUUCGAAUCCCACCUCCGCCC